rnacentral:rRNA from 1 species
AUGUUGAAACACAAGGAUUUCUUCUUUUCCUUGUGCAAAUUUGUUGUGGGGAAUGGAGAGAAUACCCGGUUCUGGGAAGAUUGGUGGAUUGGCCCAAAAGCCUUGAAAGAUAGUUACCCACGUAUAUAUAAUAUAUGCUUUGACAAGGAGAAGUCAGUGGCCUGGGUUCUGGAAAAAGGACUAGAUAAUAUAGGCUUUAGGAGAUCGCUGUUAUGGGAACAUAUCAAAGAGGCGUGCGAAAGUGUGGUGCUUGAUGAGUCCUCUGAUAAGAUUAGGUGGACUCUUACUGGGGAUGGAAAUUAUAGUGUGAAAACCUGUUAUAGACAUUUGAUCCAGAAUGAAAUGAAAUAUCCAUAUAAAUUUUUAUGGAAAGUGAAAAUGCCCCCUAGAGUUAAGUUUUAA